CACACAUUUAAAAAUAAUUUUUAGCAAUUUCUUAAGUGAAUCUGGGAAUUUUACCUCAUGCACCCCAAUUCUACUCACCUCCUAGCCCCUCCAUAGCCUCUACUUCCAACUUGCAGCCACCCCCAAACAAAAAUAAAAAUAAUCAGACAAAACAAAAUAAACAAACACUCAAAUACAAAGAGAAAAACAAAAACCCACCUCUUUCCAACCUAUCCAAUACCUCUUCAUUUAUCCUGGUGGCUUUGGGAGCCAUGGUAUGUCACACAGUAUCUGCUUUUGUCCAGUCAGCUGGGCUGGUUCAAGGCCUCUCUGGUUUCUGUACACCAUCAUCUCUGGAUCCUCACUCCUCCCCUAUAUCUUGAGGCCACUGUAAGUCAUGGAGAUACUGGGGUUAUCCUUACCCAGGAUUAGUCCCUUCACAAGCUCUAGCAGGUCCUAAAAUGUGCAGAUGUGAGGGUGGGCCAACCCCAGGCCCAGCUGUGAGGCUCGGUGGUAGUUGAGCUGGUCAGUCCAGGCUACUGGGAUGCCCUCUUUAGGCCAAGGGCAGAGCCAGCUCCCCUGUGCCCAUGCCACCUGGGUCAGCUGUUCUCUGCCUGUGGUGAGGGGUGGGGCCAAUUCUGCUGAGUGUGUGUGUGAGAGGAGGCAUGGUCUCCCUUGAGAGUCAGGGCCAGCUCUCUUGCUGUAGAAGUCCAGCAAAGGGCAGAGCCAACUAUCCCAGGGCCUGAGAAGGGAGGAGCCGGCUCAACAUGGUUACCACAGCUACAUGAGGGGAUGCAGGCCAGAGAGAUGGCUCAGCCAUUAAAGGAUAUGCUCACAACCAAAAUUAAGUUUAAUUUUUAAACAUCUAUUUUUUUAUAAUAAAGGGCCAUGGAAUGUGUGGUUUAAAUGCUGUAUCAAUGACAAAGCUGAGUUAGAAGUUAUUGCUGUGCUCCUAUGUGGCCUUCUUCCUCCUGCCAGGCACAGAUGGGACAAGGAGUCCACAUCUUCCCACCAUUGCCAUAUUUUAUAGAAAGAGAAGCUGAGAAGAAAAUUACCCAUGCCUAUAACCAUGAUCUUUGGUAUUGCCUAGCCUAUUAUUCCUUCAUUGCAUUGAAUUUCUUACAACAUACUGUACAUUCUAAAGUUUUAUAUUAUUUUUUUAAUUAUAUGGGAAGGAUAUGCACAUGAGGGCAGGUUCCUGAGGAGGUCAGAGGCAUCGAACCUCCAUGAAGCUUGUCUUAGAGGCAGUUGUAAGUUACCUAACUUGGGUGCUAGGAAAGGAACUGAGGUCAUCUGCAAGAGCAGGAAGUGCUCUUAACCAUCCAUCUGUCUCUACACCCAGCUGGCCAGGCAGCC
rnacentral:lncRNA from 1 species